CGGGCUGUCUGGUUUGUAACUGACGUGAGGCUCGAAAGUAUGGGGUAGCAAACAGGAUUGAGAUACCGUGGUAGUCCAUACCGUAAAUGAUGAAUGAUAAGUGUUGGAGGGUUUCCGCCCUUCAGUGCUGCAGCUAACGCAUUAAGCAUUCCGCCUGGGGAGUACGGCCGCAAGGCUGAAACUCAAAGGAAUUGACGGGGGCCCGCACAAGCGGUGGAGCAUGUGGUUUAAUUUGAAGCUACGCGAAGAACCUUACCAGGUCUUGACAUACUAUGCAAAUCUAAGAGAUUAGACGUUCCCUUCGGGGACAUGGAUACAGGUGGUGCAUGGUUGUCGUCAGCUCGUGUCGUGAGAUGUUGGGUUAAGUCCCGCAACGAGCGCAACCCUUAUUAUCAGUUGCCAGCAUUAAGUUGGGCACUCUGGUGAGACUGCCGGUGACAAACCGGAGGAAGGUGGGGAUGACGUCAAAUCAUCAUGCCCCUUAUGACCUGGGCUACACACGUGCUACAAUGGAUGGUACAACGAGUUGCGAACUCGCGAGAGUAAGCUAAUCUCUUAAAGCCAUUCUCAGUUCGGAUUGUAGGCUGCAACUCGCCUACAUGAAGUCGGAAUCGCUAGUAAUCGCGGAUCAGCAUGCCGCGGUGAAUACGUUCCCGGGCCUUGUACACACCGCCCGUCACACCAUAGAGUUUGUAACACCCAAAGUCGGUGGGGUAACCUUUUAGGAACCAGCCGCCUAAGGGGAACCAAU
rnacentral:rRNA from 1 species